AGAUUCAAUGCCCUGUACAGCCCACAUUGGACUAGACUUCAGAGCUUUUCCAAAUUUAUCUUCAUAACAACACAUGCCAGAGCCAAAACAUGUUAAUUAAUUCAAUUUGAUUUAAAAAAAUAAAGAAGAAAAGAGAAGAAGAAAGAAGGAGGAGGAGGAGAAGAAGGAAAAACAAAGUAAGAAAAAAUUACCCUGACUUCAAGGAAUUAAAUUAAGGAAAUAUAACAUAUUCACAAAUAAGUGAAUGUGAAGAAUGAACAAGGUAAUAACAGAUAAUUUUAAAGCACAUUAGACAAUGGACAGAUGGAGAUGUAGUUUAAGAUAAACAGAAGAAGUAACUCUGGUUACUCUGGGUUUUUUUGUGAUUUCCCUAAAGUGUGAUGGAGCAGAAAGCUAUUAUUUCAUCAAGUGAAUCUGAACAUAAUAAUAAUUCAAGAAUAACCAAGGACAAAAAUUCUUUCCUCAAGAUGUGUAUUUGAUCUAAUUGAAGAAUGGCCUAAAAAUAAUAAUAAUAAAAAAAUCUUCACUUUG